GGGCCCGCACAAGCGGUGGAGUAUGUGGUUUAAUUCGAUGCAACGCGAAGAACCUUACCAGGGUUUGACAUCCUGCGAACCUCUUAGAAAUUUGAGGGUGCCUUCGGGAAUGCAGUGACAGGUGGUGCAUGGCUGUCGUCAGCUCGUGUCGUGAGAUGUUGGGUUAAGUCCCGCAACGAGCGCAACCCACGUCUUUAGUUGCCAGCAUUUAGUUGGGCACUCUAAGGAAACUGCCCGUGAUAAGCGGGAGGAAGGUGUGGAUGACGUCAAGUCCUCAUGGCCCUUACGGGUUGGGCUACACACGUGCUACAAUGGCAGUGACAAUGGGUUAAUCCCAAAAGCUGUCUCAGUUCGGAUUGGGUCUGCAACUCGACCCCAUGAAGUCGGAAUCGCUAGUAAUCG
rnacentral:rRNA from 1 species